rnacentral:miRNA from 1 species
UGAGGCAGGAGAAUUGCUUGAACCCAGGAGGCGGAGGUUGCCGUGAGCUGAGAUCGAGCCACUGCACUCCAGCCUGGGUAACAAGAGCGAGACUCCAUCUCA